rnacentral:rRNA from 1 species
AACGAACGCUGGCGGCAGGCUUAAUACAUGCAAGUCGAACGCCCCCUUCGGGGGGAGUGGCAGACGGGUGAGUAACGCGUGGGAACGUGCCCCAAGGUAGGGAACAACUCCGGGAAACUGGAGCUAAUACCCUAAGUGUCCGAGAGGAGAAAGAUUUAUCGCCUUGGGAUCGGCCCGCGUCAGAUUAGCUAGUUGGUGGGGUAAAAGCCUACCAAGGCUACGAUCUGUAGCUGUUCUGAGAGGAAGAUCAGCCACACUGGGACUGAGACACGGCCCAGACUCCUACGGGAGGCAGCAGUAGGGAAUCUUGGACAAUGGGCGCAAGCCUGAUCCAGCCAUGCCGCGUGAGUGAUGAAGGCCCUAGGGUUGUAAAACUCUUUCGCCGAGGACGAUAAUGACGGUACUCGGAGAAGAAGCUCCGGCUAACUUCGUGCCAGCAGCCGCAGUAACAC